CUUGUUCACAAAAGAGGCAAGUACAUGCAGGAGGCCGUCCCUGUAGGAGUUGGUGCAAUGGCCGCUGUUUUGGGAGUCCCGUACGAGAAAGUAGAGGAAGCUGUUCAAAGUAUCAAGAGUGGAGUUGUAGAGAUAGCCAAUUGGAACAGCAAGGAACAGAUUGUUAUUGCCGGUGACGCGUUGGCUGUCAAAGAAGUCUUGGCUCUUCUUAAUCCUCCUCGGU
rnacentral:rRNA from 1 species